GCGUGCGUAGCUCAGUUGAUUAGAGCGCACGUGGGCCACACUGACUUGUCAGAUGCGUAUUUACGCAUGAAUUGUGGUACCCGCGUGAGGUCGCUGGUUUAACUCCAGCCGCACGCC
rnacentral:tRNA from 1 species